rnacentral:tRNA from 1 species
AAGAGGUGUAUUAACAAUUAGAGCUGCUAACUCAAAU